rnacentral:rRNA from 1 species
UUAAUUGAAGAGUUUGAUCAUGGCUCAGAUUGAACGCUGGCGGCAGGCCUAACACAUGCAAGUCGAGCGGCAGCACAGAGGAACUUGUUCCUUGGGUGGCGAGCGGCGGACGGGUGAGUAAUGCCUGGGAAAUUGCCCGGUAGAGGGGGAU